AUUCCAUCGUUGAAUUACAUGGUAUUAGAGCCUGAUUUGGUUCAGAGAUAAUUUUUUGUUCUUCACUGGUUUCGCUGGAAACCAGGUCGCGACCAUUUGGUCUCACAACCGGCAGAGGGACAGGCUCAACCUUCCGACCGGGCAUUCCCCAAAGUCUAGUUGCCAACUUCUAAGCGCAGAACUCCGAUUUGUAGCAGAGCGUGAGGAGCACGAUUGAUCGGCGAUCACCUCAUCAAGGUCGGCUGCUCAAUUCUGGCCUUAUCCCGAUACCUUGGUGACUGAUCGACAGUCGGAUUAAUGUAUUUCUCCGCUUCUUGGCUUUGUGACACGUGAAUUUAUCCGAUCGACGAUUAGCCUCGUUCAGUGCGUGAGUAUCUGAGUUCGAUAAUUGGGCCUCUUAGUUUUGGGCUCUUUGGACUUGGUGGAUUAUUUGUGAAAUUUUAAUUGAUGUGGGGGUUUUUUUUUUUUUGGUUGGGCUCCUUUAAUUUAGGCUCUUUGGAUUUGGUGGAUUAUUUGUGAAAUUUUUAAUUUGUUGUGGGCCUUUUGUUUGGGUUAGAUUACUUGUGGGCCUUUUAUUUGUGGAUUAUUGGACAAUAACUGAGUUUAAGGGAUCUGUGAGUGAGAUGAUUCUAGUAAUGUCGAAAAUCACCUAACAUAAAUUGAAUGACUUUAAUUAUAUGGAAUGGAGCAAGACAAUCAGAGUCUAGUUACGGAGCAUAGACAAAGAUGAUCACUUAACUAAGGAUCCGCCUAAAGAUGAUACCAAACAAAGUUAGCUGAGAGAAGAUGCAAGACUCUUUCUACAAAUUAGAAACUCUAUCGAUGGUGAGGUAAUUGGUUUAAUUAAUCACUAUGAAUUUGUUAAAGAGUUAAUGGAUUAUUUGGAGUUUUUGUAUUCUGGCAAAGGAAAUGUGUCACGAAUUUAUAAAGUUUGCAAGACUUUUUACCGAGCUGAAAAGGAAGCCAAGUCUCUCACAGCUUAUUAAAGAAGAAUUUAAUAUGUUAAUGCCAUUUAGCACAGAUGUCAAAAUACAGCAAAUUUAAAGGGAGCAAAUGGCUGUUACGAGUUUUUUGGCUGGUCUUCCUUCCAAAUACGAGACUUCCAAAUCUCAAAUUCUCUCUAUUUCUGAAAUUCUCUCUCUACAAGACGUCUUCAGUAGAGUUCUGCACACUGAAAAUACAUCACCUA
rnacentral:lncRNA from 1 species